rnacentral:lncRNA from 1 species
CGAGACCUCGUUUGCUCCCGCAGCCUUUGGGGGAGGCCGCCGCCGAUUGGUUCGCUGCGCGCAGCCAAUAGGAGCGGGCGUUGCUGGCUGGCUGGCGGCGCGGCCUGGCGGAGGGAUGUCGCCGGAGGAGGCGAUGCGCUGGAAGGCGCGCUUUGCCGCCAUGUACGCCCUGGGCACCUGGACCAUCCUGGGCUACUUCGUCUACUGCUACCGCGUGCGACCGCGAGAAGCGGAGGCCGCCCAGGACAGGCAGGGCCCGCCUGAGGCCGCCGCCACCACCGCUGCCGCGCCUGCCUGGGGCGGAGCCGCCUCUUGGGAGGCGGAGUUCGAUGAAGAAAGAACACGUCCAAAUGAAACACCAGCAGAUGAAUUUUUCACGUCAACAGUGAAGUAUAAAAAGAAUCCUGUACCUUCUACAACUGGAUGUAUGAUAAUGUGAAAUCAUUCUUUGCAACCAGUGAUGGCCCUGGUCCAGAAGAGUAACUGAUCCUGAAAAUUAGGAAUUUGAUAUGUAUACAAGAGAAAUGGCUUGCAUCAAGAUGGCUUGCUUGGACGUGAAAAGUCUUUAGUUGAAACACACUCCCUCACUCAUUCACUGUCUUUCUCCUGCCCACAAAAAACAACAAAGCCUAGUAAACCUUUUCAACUGUGUUAAAGACAGUGUUUUUGCAAAACCUAUUACCGGGCUGAAAUAUUAAACAAGUUACAAAUUAUUAAACUUCCUAUAAUUAAAUCUGUAUAGUUUGAAGUUUAUUUUAAUGAUGCUACACCCCAUGUAGUGUCUACUAAAUUAACAUGAUUGCCUCUGUUAGAGCUUUAGCUUUGAUCAGGUAAUAAGAAAUUGCACAGAGUCAGUUUAGAGAUUGUGAAUGUGAGACAAUCUUGGACACCAACUGCUCUUCGAGUAAAGUGAAUUAUAUUUUACGUUGUUGGCUUUUGAGAGAGUCCUCAUGUUAUCUACUUCCAGUCCCAUUUUCCAACUUUAAUCCGUAAAGGAAUAUAGAAAUUCAACUCUUAAAAACAAAAUUAAGUGUCUCAAGUGUACACCACUCAGUAGGAGUAACUCAUCUGUUUCACCUCUUUUCCUAAAGGAGUGAAGUUAAAGGUGUAAAUACUGCCCGAUAUUAACUGCACUCUCACCAAUAGCUAUGUCCGUGUUCAUGACUCAACUGUUCUACCAGGUCACUUUCUUGAAGCAAUUUGUUUAUAUGUAAAGUUGCAUUAGCAAUAAUUUAAAAGUGUGGCUCCCAUCUGAAGAGCACCUCAGUGAGAAUCACACUACUUUACUCCACAGAUCAGUUCACUAUGUGUAUUCAGAGUCACCUCUGUGUGUAUACAGAGUUACUGUACUGAUAAAAUGUAUUUUUAUUUCUCUUAGCAUUGCAGAGACAACACAUAUGGGAGACUGAGCUGGUCUGUUUUCUGGCUGGAACUUCAGG